rfam:Brassica napus, WGS project CCCW01000000 data, contig: 29246
GGAAUAUAAGAAACCGUCUCUUAAUUUUUACUAAAAAAGCUAAGAACCGGCUCUUAAAUAAGAUAUUUAAGAGCCGGUUCUUAGCUUUUGUAGUUAAAAAUUAAGAGACGGUUUCUUAUAUUCC